rnacentral:rRNA from 1 species
ACUCCUACGGGAGGCAGCAGUAGGGAAUCUUCCACAAUGGGCGAAAGCCUGAUGGAGCAACGCCGCGUGGGUGAAGAAGGUCUUCGGAUCGUAAAACCCUGUUGUUAGAGAAGAAAGUGCGUGAGAGUAACUGUUCACGUUUCGACGGUAUCUAACCAGAAAGCCACGGCUAACUACGUGCCAGCAGCCGCGGUAAUACGUAGGUGGCAAGCGUUAUCCGGAUUUAUUGGGGCGUAAAGGGAACGCAGGCGGUCUUUUAAGUCUGAUGUGAAAGCCUUCGGCUUAACCGGAGUAGUGCAUUGGAAACUGGAGACUUGAGUGCAGAAGAGGAGAGUGGAACUCCAUGUGUAGCGGUGAAAUGCGUAGAUAUAUGGAAGAACACCAGUGGCGAAAGCGGCUCUCUGGUCUGUAACUGACGCUGAGGUUCGAAAGCGUGGGUAGCAAACAGGAUUAGAUACCCUGGUAGGAUAGCG